CGGAAGGCAGCAGUGGGGAAUAUUGCACAAUGGAGGAAACUCUGAUGCAGCGACGCCGCGUGAGUGAUGAAGUAUUUCGGUACGUAAAACUCUAUCAGCAGGGAAGAUAAUGACGGUACCUGACUAAGAAGCACCGGCUAAAUACGUGCCAGCAGCCGCGGUAAUACGUAUGGUGCAAGCGUUAUCCGGAUUUACUGGGUGUAAAGGGAGCGUAGGUGGUUUGGCAAGCCAGAAGUGAAAACCCGGGGCUCAACUCCGUGGAUUGCUUUUGGAACUGUUGGACUAGAGUGAGUGAGGGGUAAGCGGAAUUCCCAGUGUAGCGGUGAAAUGCUUAGAUAUUGGGAAGAACACCGGAGGCGAAGGCGGCUUACUGGAACUAAAACUGACACUGAGGCUCGAAAGCGUGGGGAGCAAACAGGAUUAGAUACCCUGGUA
rnacentral:rRNA from 1 species